CGACCGGCGCACGGGUGCGUAACGCGUAUGCAACCUACCCAUAACAGGGGGAUAACACUGAGAAAUUGGUACUAAUACCCCAUAACAUCAGGACCGGCAUCGGUUCUGGUUGAAAGCUCCGGUGGUUAUGGAUGGGCAUGCGUUGUAUUAGCUGGUUGGUGAGGUAACGGCUCACCAAGGCAACGAUACAUAGGGGGACUGAGAGGUUAACCCCCCACAUUGGUACUGAGACACGGACCAA
rnacentral:rRNA from 1 species